CUCUCUCAGAUCUCUCUGCCUCUCUGGGCUUUAAUCUAAGGAAAGAGAAGCUUUGAAAGAAAAAGGGGAGAGAAAUAAGAGGGAAGUUUAGGUCAUCAGGGGAUUCUAUUGUCCAUGUAGUGGUUGAUGCCAAGUAACUCGUGCGUAUAUUACAUAUUGGCUCUGUGGAUGUGCUUAAAAUAGGAAUAUAAACAUAUGUUUACCUUUGUCCUUGGGAUCUACACUCUUGUUGUUUCAGAGGCUUUAUCAGAAAAUUGCAAGAUGAGUUGGAGAAACUUGAGUAGAGGGAGCGGGAUGCAGGCCGGAAGAUGAUGAAUAAACAACCAUGAAGGAGCAAGAAAUGCUGCAGAGUUGCAAAGUCCAUUGUUGAAUGUUUUGGUUUGGAUGCAAAUAGGUGGGUAAGCUAGAAGUAAUAAGACUAACAAAAAUAUUGAAAAUUGGUUUAUUGGCUGACUUUGGUGCCAUUUUGUAUUUAUUGGGUGAAGAAUAUUGAAGAAAAUAUUUUGAUGUGCUGGUGUAAUUAAAUUCACUUGUUGACCAU